AGUGAGUGGGUCAGCAGCAUGGAGGUUCGACAAGGGUGCUUGGCCCUACUACCCGUGAACCCACCCAAGGAGAGACGUGGUUGUAGAGUCACGCACCUCUGCCGAGCCUCCUGCUCGUUGUGCUUCUUCUU
rnacentral:miRNA from 19 species